AAGACGACAAACGUGCAUAAUUUCUAAAAACGAUUUGGAAAGAAGAAAAACACUUAAAAGAUAAUUAAGCAACGCUUGCUCAUUAUUAUCCAUCAAUCCGGCGGCGCAGACGAAACAAAUCGUGGAAAUAUAAUACGUAUUGAAACAGAUUAGUCAGACUGCAGUGUGUCUCAAUUGUGUGAGAAGUGUCUUCGGGCAGUUUAAUAGCUUGCAAAAAGCAUUGUUCAAGAUGGAAUCAAAAUGUUUGAUCAUUACUAUCCUGUGCAGUCUCGUGGCUUUACAAAUGUCCUCAGUUGAAGGUGUUUGCUACAGCUACGUGUGCCGAAGGCGUUGUGUGUACCGGGCGCCAUUGUAUGAGGAGUAUGCUUUUCGAUACCUGUGGCCGAGGGUUUGCGGCAGGCGGGCUGUCAGGCGCUUCGGCAUGAAAGCAUGCUGUAGGACUUGGGGCGUUUAUUAGGGCAUAUUGCUUGGUAUGAAGAUAUUCAUGAUUCUUAAAAUGAGGUCGAGGGCGAGCACUUGAAAUGCAGUGACACAUUUGUAACUGAUAUUUUAAAUAAAUUCUUUGUUUUCUUUGAAAGAGU